AUUGAACGCUGGCGGCAGGCCUAACACAUGCAAGUCGAACGGUAGCACAGAGGAGCUUGCUCCUUGGGUAACGAGUGGCGGACGGGUGAGUAAUGUCUGGGAAACUGCCCGAUGGAGGGGGAUAACUACUGGAAACGGUAGCUAAUACCGCAUAACGUCGCAAGACCAAAGAGGGGGACCUUCGGGCCUCUUGCCAUCGGAUGUGCCCAGAUGGGAUUAGCUAGUAGGUGGGGUAACGGCUCACCUAGGCGACGAUCCCUAGCUGGUCUGAGAGGAUGACCAGCCACACUGGAACUGAGACACGGUCCAGACUCCUACGGGAGGCAGCAGUGGGGAAUAUUGCACAAUGGGCGCAAGCCUGAUGCAGCCAUGCCGCGUGUAUGAAGAAGGCCUUCGGGUUGUAAAGUACUUUCAGCGAGGAGGAAGGCGUUGUGGUUAAUAACCGCAACGAUUGACGUUACUCGCAGAAGAAGCACCGGCUAACUCCGUGCCAGCCGCCGCGGUAAAAGGG
rnacentral:rRNA from 1 species